rnacentral:rRNA from 1 species
AGUUUGAUCCUGGCUCAGAUUGAACGCUGGCGGAUGCUUUACACAUGCAAGUCGAACGGCAGCACGGACUUCGGUCUGGUGGCGAGUGGCGAACAGGUGAGUAAUGUAUCGGAACGUGCCUAGUAGCGGGGGAUAACUACGCGAAAGCGCUGGCCUGUACAUACGCCCUUCGAGGAAAGCGGGGGACCUUCGGGCCUCGCACUAUUGGAAGCGGCCGAUAUCGGAUUGGCUAGUUGGUGGGGUAACGGCUCACCAAGGCGACGAUCCGUAGCUGGUUUGAGAGGACGACCAGCCACACUGGGACUGAGACACGGCUUGAACUCCUACGGGAGGCAGCAGUGGGGAAUUUUGGACAAUGGGGGAAACCCUGAUCCAGCCAUCCCGCGUGUGCGAUGAAGGCCUUCGGGUUGUAAAGCACUUUUGGCAGGAAAAACGGCACGGGAUAAUACCCCGUGCAACUGACGGCUACCUGCAGAAUAAGCACGGCUAACUACAUUACCAGCAUAACCGGUAAUACGUAAGUGCAAGCGUUAAUCGGAAUUACUGGGCAUAAAGCGUGCGCAGGCGGUUCGGAAAGAAAAGAUGUGAAAUCCCAGAGCUUAACUUUGGAACUGCAUUUUUUAACUACCGAGCUAGAGUGUCAGAGGAAGUGGAAUUCCGCGUGUAGCAGUGAAAUGCGUAGAUAUGCGGAGGAACACCGAUGGCGAAGAGCAGCCUCCUGGGAUAACACUGACGCUCAUGCACGAAAGUGAGGCAAAACCAGAGUUAGAUACCCUGGUAGUCCACGCCUAAACGAUGUCAGCUAGCUGUUGGGGCCUUCGGGCCUUGGUAGCGCAACUAACGCGUGAAGUUGACCGCACAAAAUUACGGUCGCAAGAUUAAAACUCAAAGGAAUUGACGGGGACCCGCACAAGCGGUGGAUGAUGUGGAUUAAUUCGAUGCAACGCGAAAACCUUACCUACCCUUGACAUGUCUGGAAUCCCGAAGAGAUUUACGGGAGUGCUCGCAAGAGAACCGGAACACAGGUGCAUGGCUGUCGUCAGCUCGUGUCGUGAAAUGUUGGGGUUCGAAUCCGCAACAGGCGCAGCCUGUCAUUAGUUGCUACGAAAGGGCACUCUAAUGCGGUUGCCAGUAGUAUCAAACCGGGGAGGAAGGUGGGGAUGACGUCAAGUCUCGCACAUAGCCCUUAUGGGUAGGGCUUCACACGUCAUACAAUGGUCGGGACAGAGAAUUCGCCAACCCGCGAGGGGAGCCAAUCCCAGAAACCCGAUCGUAGUCCGGAUCGCAGUCUGCAACUCGACUGCGUGAAGUCGGAAUCGCUAGUAAUCGCGGAUCAGCAUGUCGCGGUGAAUACGUUCCCGGGUCUUGUACACACCACCCGUCACACCAUGGGAGUGGGUUUUACCAGAAGUAGUUAGCCUAACCGUAAGGAGGGCGAUUACCACGGCGGUUAACGGCUAGGGGUGAAGUCGUAACAAGGUAACCUAUUUACUACAGUGCCUACAG